CCUACGGGUGGCAGCAGUGAGGAAUAUUGGUCAAUGGACGAGAGUCUGAACCAGCCAAGUAGCGUGAAGGAUGACUGCCCUAUGGGUUGUAAACUUCUUUUAUAUGGGAAUAAAAUGUUCCACGUGUGGGAUUUUGUAUGUACCAUAUGAAUAAGGAUCGGCCAACUCCGUGACAGCAGCCGCGGUAAUACGGAGGAGUCGAGCGUUAUUCGUAUUUACUGGGUUUAAAGGGAGCGUAUGUGGAUUGUUAAGUGAGUUGUGAAAGUUUGGGGCUCAACCGUAAAAUUGCCGUUGAAACUGGCAGUCUUGAGUACAGUAGAAGUGGGCGGAAUUCGUGGUGUAGCGGUGAAAUGCUUAGAUAUCACGAAGAACUCCGAUUGCGAAGGCAGCUCACUGGACUGCAACUGACACUGAGGCUCGAAAGUGUGGGUAUCAAACAGGAUUAGAUACCCUUGUAGUC
rnacentral:rRNA from 1 species